rnacentral:siRNA from 1 species
AUGAGAUGUUGUUCGUUUGCUUA